GCUUACGGCCACACCGGCCUGAGUACGCCUGAUCUCGUCCGAUCUCGGAAGCUAAGCAGGGUCGGGCCUGGUUAGUACUUGGAUGGGAGAUCGCCUGGGAAUACCAGGUGCUGUAAGCU
rnacentral:rRNA from 1 species